rnacentral:rRNA from 1 species
GUGUGUAGGCGGCCUAUCAAGAUAGCGGUGAAAUGCCGGGGCUUAACCUCGGAACUGCCAUUAUUACUGGUAGGCUAGAAUGACAGAGAGGAUAUUGGAAUACCCAGUGUAGAGGUGAAAUUCGUAGAUAUUGGGUAGAACACCGGUGGCGAAGGCGAGUAUCUGGCUGUAAAUUGACGCUGAGGCACGAAAGCAUGGGGAUCAAACA